rnacentral:rRNA from 1 species
GGCGGCGUGCCUAAUACAUGCAAGUAGAACGCUGAAGGAAGGAGCUUGCUCUUUCUGGAUGAGUUGCGAACGGGUGAGUAACGCGUAGGUAACCUGCCUGGUAGCGGGGGAUAACUAUUGGAAACGAUAGCUAAUACCGCAUAAAAUGGAUUAUCGCAUGAUAAUUCAUUGAAAGGUGCAAAUGCAUCACUACCAGAUGGACCUGCGUUGUAUUAGCUAGUUGGUGGGGUAACGGCUCACCAAGGCGACGAUACAUAGCCGACCUGAGAGGGUGAUCGGCCACACUGGGACUGAGACACGGCCCAGACUCCUACGGGAGGCAGCAGUAGGGAAUCUUCGGCAAUGGACGGAAGUCUGACCGAGCAACGCCGCGUGAGUGAAGAAGGUUUUCGGAUCGUAAAGCUCUGUUGUAAGAGAAGAACGAGUGUGAGAGUGGAAAGUUCACACUGUGACGGU